rnacentral:rRNA from 1 species
GCGGUAACAGCUCAAAUUUGAAAGCUAGCUCUUUUAGGGUUCGCAUUGUAAUUUGUAGAAGAUGCUUCGGGUGUGGCCCCGGUCUAAGUUCCUUGGAACAGGACGUCAUAGAGGGUGAGAAUCCCGUAUGUGACUGGGUGCUUUCGCUCAUGUGAAGCUCUUUCGACGAGUCGAGUUGUUUGGGAAUGCAGCUCAAAAUGGGUGGUAAAUUUCAUCUAAAGCUAAAUAUUGGCCAGAGACCGAUAGCGCACAAGUAGAGUGAUCGAAAGAUGAAAAGCACUUUGGAAAGAGAGUUAAACAGUACGUGAAAUUGUUGAAAGGGAAGCGCUUGCAACCAGACUUGCGCGCUGAUGAUCAUCCGGGCUUCUGCCCGGUGCACUCGUCUGCGCUCAGGCCAGCAUCGGUUUCGGUGGUGGGAUAAAGGCCUUGGGAAUGUAGCUUCUUUCGGGGAGUGUUAUAGCCCUCGGUGCAAUGCCGCCUACCGGGACCGAGGACCGCGCUUCGGCUAGGAUGCUGGCGUAAUGGUUGUAAGCGACCCGUCUUGAAACACGGACCAAGGAGUCUAACAUCUAUGCGAGUGUUUGGGUGUCAAACCCAUACGCGUAAUGAAAGUGAACGGAGGUGAGAACCCUUAAGGGUGCAUCAUCGACCGAUCCUGAUGUCUUCGGAUGGAUUUGAGUAAGAGCAUAGCUGUUGGGACCCGAAAGAUGGUGAACUAUGCGUGAAUAGGGUGAAGCCAGAGGAAACUCUGGUGGAGGCUCGCAGCGGUUCUGACGUGCAAAUCGAUC